UGAAUGGAAGCCUUCUGAGGCACUGGAGC
rnacentral:piRNA from 1 species